UACGGGGGGGGCAAGCGUUGUUCGGAAUUACUGGGCGUAAAGGGCUCGUAGGUGGCCAACUAAGUCAGACGUGAAAUCCCUCGGCUUAACCGGGGAACUGCGUCUGAUACUGGAUGGCUUGAGUUCGGGAGAGGGAUGCGGAAUUCCAGGUGUAGCGGUGAAAUGCGUAGAUAUCUGGAGGAACACCGGUGGCGAAGGCGGCAUUCUGGACCGAUAUUGACGCUGAGGAGCGAAAGCCAGGGGAGCAAACGGG
rnacentral:rRNA from 1 species